CCCUUAGAUGUUCUGGGCCGCACGCGCGCUACACUGACUGCUCCAACAAGUUACCUGGGCUGACAAGCAUCCGGGAAAUCUUGCAAAGGCAGUCGUGAUGGGGAUAGAUUCUUGUAAUUUUUGAUCUUCAACGAGGAAUUCCUAGUAAACGCAAGUCAUCAGCUUGCAUUGAUUACGUCCCUGCCCUUUGUACACACCGCCCGUCGCAUCUACCGAUUGAAUGGAGAGGCAAAAUCUUCGGACCGUGACGCUUGGGAGUCAAAUCUCGGGCUGUCGUGGGAAGUGGAUUAAACCUUUCUAUUUAGAGGAAGGAGAAGUCGUAACA
rnacentral:rRNA from 1 species